rnacentral:lncRNA from 7 species
AGCAGCAACUUUGUAAAGUUUGAUGACAAAUGUGUCGAGUUUCUUGAGAAACGGUGAAGGUUGGGAGUAGAGGAAAGCAGUGGGAAGGAGGUGACCCUGAAGAACUAACGCUGCUAUCGAGACGGAUCUAACAACGCAGUCUGGGCUCUGUGCCAAAGGCUGGUAUUUCACAGCAGCGACCGCCUUACAGAUGAGCUGUGGGAAGCAGGAGGGAGACUCUCUUAGGGUGCCACUACUAUGGAGACACAGCUGGGCUGAACAAGAUUUGCUUCAAACGACAACAAGAGAGACAGAAAGUGUCUGGUUCGACCGCUGCCCAAGCAGGCAGUAACCAGAAGAGCUAGCAGCCAAUCCGGCCAUGCUGCACUGUUCGAAACCAGCUCUACAUCCCAGCCAAUCAGUGACAUCACUGCUGGUACUGCGGAAAAAGCUUCGAAGCCCAGUGAUGCUCCAUUGAAGAACUGAUGAAAGUCAUAAGACUUAGUUGAACAUAUUCCUUCUGAAGAAAGGCCUAUUAUUUCAAAACCUAGUAGUUCCAGACAGGACACCUACAUGAAGAGGAUAUAGACACUGAAGUUUUCUGCUCUUACAUAGCCCAUAAAGAUCCUAUUUUUUGCACUGCUACAACGAAAACAAUGACGUUGGAUGGCAGAGGUGGCUGCUCAUGUGAAUUACUGCAUUUGUUUUUUAUGCACGUGGUUUUUAAUAGUUUAAGAGAAUGUUCCUGUUCCCCGAAGUAGUAAAUUUUUGUACAAAUUCAUUCAAUCCAUUCUCAGAAUGAAGGGUUCCAGUACUGGGAAAACAUGCUAAAAAUCCAGGAAUGUUUAGGUACUUCC